UUUGGUAUACAAUGAUUUUUAGCUUUUAUGUUUCUUUUUUGCUUACUCUCAUGACUAAUAGUAGACAGAACCGAACACUUGCCUGCUAAGGUCAGGGCAAGCUCAUUGAUGAUGUAGUUGUUGUUAUUUUUGAACUUUUUUUUAAAAGCAAAAUAUAAAAAUGAAAAUGAUAAAGUGAGCCGAAUCACAAAUAGCCCAUGUCGGUGGAUGGCUGGAGCGUGGGGUGUCUAAUUGUUAAUAAUGACUCCACUGUUUAUAGAUCUCGCUUAUGACUUUCAGCUAUUGAAUCUAUCAACCCAUUGGGGCUGUCUGGUAGUUUUUCCCAGUUAUGCUCUGUUGCAAUUUUGUUUACUGAUUUUGGGUCUAUGAUUUUUCUUAAAAUAGACCUAUUAAAUCCAAUAUAUUUUUCUUUGAGAAUUUAUUUGUGAAAGAGUAGUGAUCAUUAAUUCCGUGCUUUAUUUUUGGCCUCAUGUUGAUAAAUGAUAUUCAAGGUUCAUGUUAUCCCCAUCUUCAGUUGCCUGCAAGUGCUUUACUUGUGCUUUACAAUUGUGAAUCAGGAAACUUUUAAAUUACUUUCAAAGAUGUCCAAUUAUGUCCAAUUAUAAAUUACUUUGUUCCAUUAUGAAUCAGAUUUGUCCAUUAUGUCCAAUUAUGUCCAAUUUUAAAUUACUUUCAAAGAUGUUUAUGUCCAUUAUGAAUCAGAUUUGUUCCAAUUUAAAAUUACUUUGUUCCAAUUAUGUCCACCAUUCCCUAAUUCAUUAUUUUUGGAAUUAGGCCAUGAAUUGAUACUUUUUUUUUUCACUAUUCUUUUUGUGUGGUAUGAACAAUUGUGCUUUAGAUGGAAUAUCAAGGAAAUGCGUAUUUUAGCAACCUAAUGAACGAGUUUGACGUUGACCAUGAUUUUACCACUGCAUUAUGCUGUCCUGUUUUUGCAGGUGUUCUGGUUGCACUCAAGAGUACAAUCUCCACCAUCCGAUCAUCCUCGACGAGGCCACCGACUUCUUCAAUAAACACGGCGUAUCUGACUUCACCUUCGAUACUUGUAGACUCUGGGGAUGGAGGUGCCGCGCAAAACUCGCAGUAAGUUUGAGUUCAGUUGUGUGUUUCUCUACACUUGAUUUUGAAGAGGGUUUUUCGCGAUCUGGGCCGUGGUUCAAUCCUCUGUUCAGUUCGAAUCUCAGUAAGUUUGAGUUCAGUUGUGUGUUUCUCUACACUUGAUUUUGAAGAGGGUUUUUCGCGAUCUGGGCCGUGGUUCAAUCCUCUGUUCAGUUCGAAUCUCAGUAAGUUUGAGUUCAGUUGUGUGUUUCUCUACACUUGAUUUUGAAGAGGGUUUUUCGCGAUCUGGGCCGUGGUUCAAUCCUCUGUUCAGUUCGAAUCUCAGUAAGUUUGAGUUCAGUUGUGUGUUUCUCUACACUUGAUUUUGAAGAGGGUUUUUCGCGAUCUGGGCCGUGGUUCAAUCCUCUGUUCAGUUCGAAUCUCAGUAAGUUUGAGUUCAGUUGUGUGUUUCUCUACACUUGAUUUUGAAGAGGGUUUUUCGCGAUCUGGGCCGUGGUUCAAUCCUCUGUUCAGUUCGAAUCUCAGUAAGUUUGAGUUCAGUUGUGUGUUUCUCUACACUUGAUUUUGAAGAGGGUUUUUCGCGAUCUGGGCCGUGGUUCAAUCCUCUGUUCAGUUCGAAUCUCAGUAAGUUUGAGUUCAGUUGUGUGUUUCUCUACACUUGAUUUUGAAGAGGGUUUUUCGCGAUCUGGGCCGUGGUUCAAUCCUCUGUUCAGUUCGAAUCUCAGUAAGUUUGAGUUCAGUUGUGUGUUUCUCUACACUUGAUUUUGAAGAGGGUUUUUCGCGAUCUGGGCCGUGGUUCAAUCCUCUGUUCGGUUCGAAUCUCAGUAAGUUUGAGUUCAGUUGUGUGUUUUUUAAGUGAUGUGUUUCGACACUUUUGCCUUGAUAGAUUUUUGUUUUGUUUAUUUUUUUUGUUUCUUCAAGAUUCAUAUGUUUGAGUGGUCUCAUCCUAGUUGGAAUCAUGAUUCUAUCUCGAUGUUAAUAUGGGUUUUGACAAGAUUUUUACGUUAAACAACAAAAUUUUUGUUUUAGAGAAGAAGUGUCACUCCCAAUAGGCGGUUCUUGCAAUGAAGGUAUGUGGUAUGCCUGAUGCUAUUGUUCACGAUAGGAGCUUGUCAUACAAAGUUACAUAGAGACAUUGAGAGGGAAAUCUAAUUUUAGAACAAUAAUCUUUUAGCUCAUAGAUGAAGAACAAUAAUUGUUUGCUUUGUAAUGCAUGUUUUUUGUUAAGUUCGUUGUGCAUUUUGAUGUGGAGAGUUUGGGAGAGAAUAGAAAGUUUUGUUGAUGGUGAUAGAGAAGAGAGACAAACUGUUUGUAUAAACUGGCAUAGAGAGAGGUGGAUGUCCAGAUGGGUAAUGGUUUCUAGUUUCUCCACAUUUUAACGUAGUUUAGUUUAUUGACAUGCUGGAUUAGCAAUCUGCAGCAUUUUUAUUUUUAUUUUUGUGUGCUUAAUGGGUUACACUAGUUUAUUGAAUAUAAACUAGGGAUCCAACUCUUUACAAUAUAAGAUAUUCAAGAGCAAACAAUGAAAUAUUCGCAGGACUUUUGAGAGCUUUAAGUGGGUCAUGGUCCCUUUUCCACCCCUGGUUCUGCCUUUGUACAUGUUAUUGCUGGAAAAGGAGAGUUGGAGAGAGAGAGAGAGAGAGGCCACCAUUAACAAACCAAACCAAACCAAGCCAAGCCUUAAGUCUCAUCAAUGGGGCCGGCUACAUGAAUCUUUCUUCCCCACUUGACUUUAUCAAUAGGCCAUUUGGUUAGUCAAAUUUAGGAGAUUCAUAUCUCUAUUUACUACACUAGCCCACUAUAUAUGUUGAAAUUAGUGAAAGAUAAGAUGUGUUUGCCUUGAGGUAUUAGUAGAGGGGCUAUUUAUAGAUAUUUUCACU